rnacentral:rRNA from 1 species
GGCCUACCAUGGUGGUAACGGGUAACGGGGUGUUAGGGCACGACACCGGAGAGGGAGCCUGAGAAACGGCUACCACAUCCAAGGAUGGCAGCAGGCGCGCAAAUUACCCAAUCCCGACACGGGGAGGUAGUGACAAUAAAUAACAAUACGGGGUUCUUUCGGAUCUCGUAAUUGGAAUGAGUACAAUUUAAAUCUCUUAACGAGGAACAAUUGGAGGGCAAGUCUGGUGCCAGCAGCCGCGGUAAUUCCAGCUCCAAUAGCGUAUAUUAAAGUUGUUGCAGUUAAAAAGCUCGUAGUUGAAUUUCGGGAUCAAUAUGUUGGUCGUGCCUUGGUACGUACUGGCGUCAUUGGUUUCUACCUUCUGAAGAACCUCGAUGUCAUUAAUUUGGUGUCUUGGGGAAUCAGGACUGUUACUUUGAAAAAAUUAGAGUGUUUAAAGCAGGCUCACGCUUGAAUACAUUAGCAUGGAAUAAUGAAAUAGGACGUUUGAUUCUAUUUUGUUGGUUUCUAGGAUCGACGUAAUGAUUAAUAGGGAUAGUUGGGGGCAUUAGUAUUCAAUUGUCAGAGGUGAAAUUCUUGGAUUUAUUGAAGACUAACUACUGCGAAAGCAUUUGCCAAGGAUGUUUUCAUUAAUCAAGAACGAAAGUUAGGGGAUCGAAGACGUUCAGAUACCGUCGUAGUCUUAACCAUAAACUAUGCCGACUAGGGAUCGGAUGAUGUUAAUUUUUUAAUGACUCAUUCGGCGCCUUACGGGAAACCAAAGUGUUUGGGUUC